GAAUAUUCAGCUGACAAUCGAGGGUUGGAGAAUAGUGACCAGAGGGACCGAGUCACCAGAGUAGCAGAUUUACCUUUCAUACACAACACCUGGUUUUUGAAUAAAGAUUUGAAGAGUUUUUUAAUGUGGAGGCCAAAAGAUAGAUUGGGGUCUAGCAACAUACCUAGAUAUUUGAAGGAGCAGAUUAUUAUUAUUAUUGCCAUUUAUAUAGCGCCAACAGAUUCCGUAGUGCUUUACAAUAUUUUGAGAGGGGGGAUGUAACAAUAAAUAGGACAAUUACAAGAAAACUUACAGAAACAAUAGGUUGAAGAGGACCCUGCUCAAACGAGCUUACAGACUAUAGGAGGUGGGGUAUUAGAAACAUUAGGACAGGAAAUAUCAAGUAGGAGUGAAGCAGAGCUGGAGGAGAGAGCAAAGCACUGUCCCAUAGGAGAGAGCGGGAGACAGGUAUGUAAGGUUAAUCUGGGAGGCCAUAAGCUUUCCUGAAG